rnacentral:sRNA from 1 species
GCUGGGUGUGGUGGCGUACACCUGUAAUCCCAGCUACACUGGAGGCUGAGGCAAGAGAAUUGCUUGAACCUGGGUGGCGGAGAUUGCAGUGAGCCGAGAUCAUGCCACUGCACUCCAGCCUGAGCAACAGACUCUGACUUGACUUAAAGAAAAAAAAGAGUUAUCUUUUUUUUUUUUUUGAGACGGAGUUUCGCUCAUUACCCAGGCUGGAGUGCAAUGGUGCGAUCUCGGCUCACUGCAACCUCCACCUCCUGGGUUCAGGCAAUUCUCCUGCCUCAG